rnacentral:rRNA from 1 species
GAUUCAUGAUAACUUCUCGAAUCGCAUGGCCUUGUGCCGGCGAUGGUUCAUUCAAAUUUCUUCCCUAUCAACUUUCGAUGUUUGGGUAGUGGCCAAACAUGGUUGCAACGGGUAACGGAGGGUUAGGGCUCGACCCCGGAGAAGGAGCCUGAGAAACGGCUACUACAUCCAAGGAAGGCAGCAGGCGCGCAAAUUACCCAAUCCCGACACGGGGAGGUAGUGACAAUAAAUACUGAUACAGGGCUCUUUUGGGUCUUGUAAUUGGAAUGAGUACAAUUUAAAUCCCUUAACGAGGAACAAUUGGAGGGCAAGUCUGGUGCCAGCAGCCGCGGUAAUUCCAGCUCCAAUAGCGUAUAUUAAAGUUGUUGUGGUUAAAAAGCUCGUAGUUGAACCUUGGGCCUGGCUGGCCGGUCCGCCUCACCGCGUGUACUGGUCCGGCCGGGCCUUUCCCUCUGUGGAACCCCAUGCCCUUCACUGGGUGUGGCGGGGAACCAGGACUUUUAC